AUUAGUGGCGAACGGGUGAGUAACACGUGGGCAAUCUGCCCUGCACUCUGGGAUAAGCCUGGGAAACUGGGUCUAAUACCGGAUAUGACCUUCUCUCGCAUGGGGGAGGGUGGAAAGCUUUUGCGGUGCAGGAUGGGCCCGCGGCCUAUCAGCUUGUUGGUGGGGUAGUGGCCUACCAAGGCGACGACGGGUAGCCGGCCUGAGAGGGUGACCGGCCACACUGGGACUGAGACACGGCCCAGACUCCUACGGGAGGCAGCAGUGGGGAAUAUUGCACAAUGGGCGCAAGCCUGAUGCAGCGACGCCGCGUGAGGGAUGACGGCCUUCGGGUUGUAAACCUCUUUCAGCAGGGAAGAAGCCUUGCCUUUUUGGGUGGGUGACGGUACUUGCAGAAGAAGCACCGGCUAACUACGUGCCAGCAGCCGCGGUAAUACGUAGGGUGCAAGCGUUGUCCGGAUUUAUUGGGCGUAAAGAGCUCGUAGGCGGCUUGUCGCGUCGAUUGUGAAAGCUCAGGGCUUAACCCUGGGUCUGCAGUCGAUACGGGCAGGCUAGAGUUCGGUAGGGGAGACUGGAAUUCCUGGUGUAGCGGUGAAAUGCGCAGAUAUCAGGAGGAACACCGGUGGCGAAGGCGGGUCUCUGGGCCGAUACUGACGCUGAGGAGCGAAAGCGUGGGGAGCGAACAGGAUUAGAUACCCUGGUAGUCCACGCUGU
rnacentral:rRNA from 1 species